rnacentral:rRNA from 1 species
ACCCCAUGGAGCUUUAAACCCAACUACACCCCUAUUUACAACAACUACUUAACCAAUUGGACACUGUAUGCUUGGUUUUAGGUUGGGGCGACCACGGAGUAAAAAAUAACCUCCACGAUAAAUGGGCUUACCCCCUUAUCUAAGAGCCACACCUCUAAGAAUUAAAAUAUUAAUAUAAUAUGAUCCUUUCUUGAUCAACGGACCAAGUUACCCUGGGGAUAACAGCGCAAUCCAUUUCAAGAGUCCCUAUCGACAAAUGGGUUUACGACCUCGAUGUUGGAUCAGGAUGUCCAGGUGGUGUAGCAGCUACCAACGGUUCGUUUGUUCAACGAUUAAAAUCCU